GAUGAACGCUGGCGGCGUGCUUAACACAUGCAAGUCGAACGAAGCAUUUGCAACAGAUUUCUUCGGAUUGAAGUUGCUUAUGACUGAGUGGCGGACGGGUGAGUAACGCGUGGGUAACCUGCCUCAUACAGGGGGAUAGCAGCUGGAAACGGCUGGUAAUACCGCAUAAGCGCACAGUACCACAUGGUACAGUGUGAAAAACUCCGGUGGUAUGAGAUGGACCCGCGUCUGAUUAGCUUGUUGGCGGGGUAACGGCCCACCAAGGCGACGAUCAGUAGCCGACCUGAGAGGGUGACCGGCCACAUUGGGACUGAGACACGGCCCAGACUCCUACGGGAGGCAGCAGUGGGGAAUAUUGCACAAUGGAGGAAACUCUGAUGCAGCGACGCCGCGUGAGUGAAGAAGUAGUUCGCUAUGUAAAGCUCUAUCAGCAGGGAAGAUAGUGACGGUACCUGACUAAGAAG
rnacentral:rRNA from 1 species